UACGUAGGGUGCAAGCGUUGUCCGGAAUUAUUGGGCGUAAAGAGCUCGUAGGCGGUUUGUCGCGUCUGCUGUGAAAACCCAGGGCUUAACCCUGGGCCUGCAGUGGGUACGGGCAGACUGGAGUGUGGUAGGGGAGACUGGAAUUCCUGGUGUAGCGGUGGAAUGCGCAGAUAUCAGGAGGAACACCGAUGGCGAAGGCAGGUCUCUGGGCCACUACUGACGCUGAGAAGCGAAAGCAUGGGGAGCGAACAGG
rnacentral:rRNA from 1 species